rnacentral:rRNA from 1 species
UACGUAGGGGGCAAGCGUUGUCCGGAAUCAUUGGGCGUAAAGGGCGUGUAGGCGGCUUGGUAAGUCUGCUCUGAAAGCCCCGGGCUCAACCUGGGAAUGGCAUUUGAGACUGCAUAGCUAGGGUGCGGAAGAGGGAAGCGGAAUUUCCGGUGUAGCGGUGAAAUGCGUAGAUAUCUGGAGGAACACCGGUGGCGAAGGCGGCAUCCUGGACCGGCAUUGACGCUGAGGCGCGAAAGCCAGGGGAGCAAACGGG